CAAAGUGAGUUUGUUGAAUACUUUUGUGGUGUAAAACUCAUGUUACUUACUAGUAAUUUAUUAAAAGUAUUAUUGUUAAAAAGUAAAAUAUCAUAUAUAGAAAUAUAUUAAUGUAUCAAUUGUUAUCCAGUGAAAUUAGUGAUUUAGCAGGGGGGGGUUUGCCAGGAACUGUAUGCAUGUCACAUUCUCGUUAGGAGCUGAGCUCCACUAAAGGUCUGAUCCUAGAAUUGCCCCUGGAGGCUGGAGUGACACAGAAAUGGAAAAGGCUUGCAGAAAACAGCUGAAAAGUAAUGAUUUCUGAAUGACAGCAUGAAAUACAAAGAUCCUAGAGAAAGGGAGCAUUGAAGGGGGAGAAUGAAAGAACGACCCAGAAAGCAAGGUUAUUGCUAACACAUGGAACAGUCUGGCCUUUCACGCCAUUACUGUAUGGUUCAGCACUUCUCGCAGGAGAGAAAAGCAUGGGAGACAGAUAAAUGAAGUGAUGGAGACAACAUGUAUAGGAGGUGAAGAAACAGACUGAUGAGAAUAACAUCUGCAGAAAGAGAGAAACACAUGGAGAAGGAGGAAAGAAAAGCCCAGCUGUAGCCCUGCUCCCCCUGAGGCGACCAUUCCCUGGCUCUGAGAUGAGGUCAGCCCACCCUGGAGGGGGCAGUAUUGUUCCAGUAAGGGGAUUUGUCUGGGCAUGUCUACCUACUGAGAUCUCCCUCCAGCUGACCCACAGCCUGAGGGGACCAGCCAGAUGAGGCAUGAGAGGGAGGAAGAUGGACAUGUGUAUGUGUGUUUGUGUGUGUUUUUCUUUCUCUGUUCAUUUUAGUUUUCUUUCUGUUGACUUUUUGGACAUUACUGCUGUGCUGGCUUGUCACCUCUAACGCCUAGUGUCUCUAACAAUAGCUGAAAGUUUUAGGUACAAAAUCCUGUUAUGUAAUUUUGCUCAACUGCAGUGCUUUAGUUUGUGUUCUUACAUAAGAAUCACUCUGAUAACUUUGUUAUACCGCAACUCUCAGAGAGCGUCUUUGAUGUAGGAAAAGUAAAUCACUGAGUACAAUUAUUAUCACCAAUGUUUUGUGAAUCCAACUGCUGGUGUCAAUGAUAUGACAUGGUGUCAGAAUUAUAGAAGAAUUAGAUGAAAGGUUUAUUAAUGAAUGAGUAGGUGAAGGAACAGAAUUCUUAUACCAAUAUAAGCUACACAUACAGUACAAAUUUCUUAAUAUAGUUUGUCAAAAUAUACUUUACAUGAGUAUCACCUAUGUGGACAAAUAAACUUUGGAAUAUCGAUC